rnacentral:rRNA from 1 species
UGGCUCAGGAUGAACGCUAGCGGCAGGCCUAACACAUGCAAUUAGAGUUUGAAAUCUUGGCUCAGAACGAACGCUGGCGGCAGGCCUAACACAUGCAAGUCGAGCGCACCCUUCGGGGCGAGCGGCGGACGGGUUAGUAACGCGUGGGAACAUACCCUUUGGUACGGAAUAGCCUCGGGAAACUGAGAGUAAUACCGUAUGUGCCCUUCGGGGGAAAGAUUUAUCGCCAAAGGAUUGGCCCGCGUAAGAUUAGAUAGUUGGUGGGGUAAUGGCCUACCAAGUCUACGAUCUUUAGCUGGUUUUAGAGGAUGAUCAGCAACACUGGGACUGAGACACGGCCCAGACUCCUACGGGAGGCAGCAGUGGGGAAUCUUAGACAAUGGGCGCAAGCCUGAUCUAGCCAUGCCGCGUGUGUGAUGAAGGCCUUAGGGUCGUAAAGCACUUUCGCCAGAGAUGAUAAUGACAGUAUCUGGUAAAGAAACCCCGGCUAACUCCGUGCCAGCAGCCGCGGUAAUACGGAGGGGGUUAGCGUUGUUCGGAAUUACUGGGCGUAAAGCGUACGUAGGCGGAUCAGAAAGUAUGGGGUGAAAUCCCAGGGCUCAACCCUGGAACUGCCUCAUAAACUCCUGGUCUUGAGUUCGAGAGAGGUGAGUGGAAUUCCAAGUGUAGAGGUGAAAUUCGUAGAUAUUUGGAGGAACACCAGUGGCGAAGGCGGCUCACUGGCUCGAUACUGACGCUGAGGUACGAAAGUGUGGGGAGCAAACAGGAUUAGAUACCCUGGUAGUCCACACCGUAAACGA